GAUGAAGAACGUAGCGAAAUGCGAUACUUGGUGUGAAUUGCAGAAUCCCGUGAACCAUCGAGUCUUUGAACGCAAGUUGCGCCCGAAGCCUCGGCUAAGGGCACGUCUGCCUGGGCGUCACGCAUCGCGUCUCCCCCAAACCGCCAAGGCGGAGGGGAAGGAAGAUGGCUUCCCGUGCCUCACCCGGCGCGGUUGGCCUAAAUUUGGAGCCCGCGGCACUUAGCUCUCGUGGCGAUAGGUGGUGAACAAGGCCUUGGCCGUGCAAACAACCCGCUGCGAAGCUCUAUGUCACGUGCGCUCGUCGGACCCUUUGAAGUUGCCUUCGGUGACUUAAAACCUUUGCGACCCCAGGUCAGGCGGGGCUACCCGCUGAAUUUAAGCAUAUCAAUAAGCGGAGGA
rnacentral:misc_RNA from 1 species